UGGUCGACAUUUGGGAGCAGCAAUAAGUACGAUUCACAACUGCGGUGAUUUAUUUCACUUUUAAUUUUUCAUGUUUGGUAACUGCAGUAGUGUAUUAAGGUGUCUACAUUUGCAGUAACCGCAGAUUAACGAAUCCUCCGUCCGCGGGGCGCGAGGGAGACUUGUGCGGGGUUUAAGGAGCGCGGUCGCGGGAGGAUUUCACACAUUCCCCGGCCUCAUAGCGGCUACAGGCGGAAAAUCUCUGGGUUCCUACGCAUAUAUUCACUCCGGAGUAACCGUACCAGGAGACAGACGGAGAUUUGGAGUUCAUUCAAAGAUAUUUAAGAGGAACAAAGAAGUUGAAAGGAAAAGUUUCUAAAACAACAGGGCAAAUGGUACAGAAGAAACCGGUUGAAGUGAACCCAAGUUGCCACUCUUCUUUGCGAAGUGAAGGAUUUUCAGCAGAAUUUCUGAAAUUCUGUUUCAGUGACAGGCGGAAACAAAAGGAGCCUGAAAGAAGAGAGAGAGAGAAGAGGGAGACACAAGUGGGGCAUUACAUAUCCCAAAAAAAUACAAGAUAUAAUAAAAAAGAAAAGAAAAAUGAAAAUGC